UUGGACUCUCCCCAAGCAGUUUCUGCUCUUCUAGGAGCAGGCACCUAAGUGCCCUGUGACACAGCACUACAUGUCCCUACCCCCUGCUACCAAGGAGGACAUCACCAGCAUCAACACCUUCCUCAUCAUGUAAGAGGCCCAUGCUGCCCAGCUGAGGGGACACAGGCUACUCAAUAAAGUUUUGAACUGUAUUCCACCUCUGCUUGCUGGGGGUGUUGAGGACCUGAGCCAGGUGGUGACUGCCCAUCUCCAAUGACUUGAGGAGCAGCUUGAGAUGUUUGUUACAGACAUUCAGGGUAUAUCAAGACUGGACUGGAUGCAUAGCUCAUUUCUGCAUCAGCCUGAUGCAAUGAAUCUGCCAUCAAAGGAAACUGAGCAGCUCACUGAACUUUCCUGUGAUUGGAGUCUUUGAUCUUUAUUUUCUCAACAAGUCAUAGUUGACUUCUGGUUCAGUGUGAAAACAGACUAUCCUGCUCUGUCAACACAUGCCCUCAACGUACUUGUGCCCUUCACCACAACUUACUUGUGUGAAGUAGGAUUCAGCACCCUAGCUUCCAUCAAGAUGAGCUAUCGCUCUACAUUGGACAUUACUUCAGAACUGUGGUGUGCCAUCUCUACCACAAAACCAAACUUAGAUAAGUUGUGUUAGAACAUUCAGGCCCAGCUGUCACACUAGUUCAGGUAAUAAUAAAGCUUUUAAAUGUGA